CAAGUCACUUCUUCAUCUCCUGGAGCCCAGCUCCCCGCUACGAAAGAAGCUGACCCGAGUGCUAUAAGGGAUUAGGUUGUUACUGACUCAGGAGGUGUGACAGCAAUGGUGGAUGGAAGGGACGGGAGGAUUUCAUACCUGCUUUUUUUCCUCUUAAUUUAGCUACAUGAAUCUCGGGUCCUUCAAAACGAGGCUAUGGAAGGAAAGACUGUAAUCACAGGUCAGGUCCGCGUCUGUGGCCACGUGGAGACAAAACUGUGGCACCCUCGGACCAACUGGCUCAGGAAAGGGCACCAGGGGAUGUUGUGUUUAUCGUAGAAUGAACCACUUUCUCCAGAUAAAACCAGAAAUUUCCCCAGGAACUCAGACCUCCUCUCUGGGAAGAUGGAUAACCUGUGAUGUACAGGUAGGGACUGGAAUAUUCUCCAUAUCCUGCAACAUCUCUGCUCAUCAGAAGACAAAAGAUAUCCUCUGCCCACAAGGAAAAAAGAUCUCCUCAGGCACAAUUCAGUACAGGAAGCUGGCGGAGCUGCAGCCCUCUGUCACCUCACAGAAUUUGCAGUUGUGAGUAAAGCUAAACCUUAGGAAAAGAGCAAUUUCAGCCUUCUAAGACAGCCUGAAAGUAACCAUGGACUGUUAUGGACAGAGCAGCUGCAUGUGCAGAAAGCAUUUUUACAGAGUUAUUAGAGCAGGGAAUUGUGCUAGGAUUACCGGGUCCUUCCCCCAGCUCUGCCUUUGAUUUGUGGUGUGUGCAGACCCCUUAAUUUGUUUCUGUUUUCCCCAUCUGUGAAACUGAGAUAAGAUCACAAGGGAAUUGUAGAGUGUGAUUCAUUAAUGUUUAUUAGACAGAGGGAAAUCCUUAAAUGAAUGGUCCUGUAUUCCAGGAGGACAAAGUUCAGGACUGCAAAGAGGCUGAUUAAAUCCAAACCUGCUAUUCCCAGGCUAGGAGGACAAAAAAAGAAAAUUGAAAAACCUUACCUACCUCUCUUAUCUGCCAAGAGCAGUAUGUGAUUUAAAUAAAAUCAAGCAGAGUGUGCAGGUGUGCAGGUGUUCAUGCAUACAUAUAUGCCUAUGGAAACCAUUAAGUAAUUAGUAAAUGUAGACCAAAAAGUGAAAGGAGGGUACGUUUGAAGUUUCCAGCAGGAAAAAAUCAAGCAGUGUGUAUGAUCACUAUGUACUGAGGGGUUUACUAACGGCAAUAUGGCAUUAGUAUAUAGAAUCAUAGAAUCACCAGGUUGGAAAAGACCUCUGAGAUCAUCAAGUCCAACCAUUCCGUUAAACCAUGUCCUUAAGUACUUUGUCUGCCCAUCUUUUAAACCCCUCCAGGGAUGGUGACUCCAUCCUCUCCCAGCGCAGCCUCUGCCAGUGCCUGAUGAUCCUUUUGGUGAAAAAUGUUUUCCUUAUGUCCAGUCUGAACCUCCCCUGGUGCAGCUUGAGGCCA